rnacentral:tRNA from 1 species
GCAGCAGUGAUUCAGUGGUAGAAUUCUUGCCUUCAAUGUAGGAGACCCAGGUUUAAUUCCCGGCCAAUGCA